AGAGUUUGAUCCUGGCUCAAGUCGUAACAAGGUAACCGGAUCCAGAGUUUGAUCCUGGCUCAGAACGUACGCUGGCGGCACGCCUAACACAUGCAAGUCGAACGAAGUAGCAAUACUUAGUGGCAGACGGGUGAGUAACAUGUGGGUAUCUACCCUUUGGCCUGGAAUAACACGAGGAAACUUGUGCUAAUACCGGAUAAGUCUUUACGGAGAAAGCUUUAUGCACCAUUGGAUGAGCCUGCACUUGAUUAGUUUGUUGGUAGGGUAAUGGCCUACCAAGACUAUGAUCAAUAGCUGAUUUGAGAGGAUGAUCAGCCACAUUGGGACUGAGACACGGCCCAAACUCCUACGGGAGGCAGCAGUGGGGAAUCUUGCACAAUGGAGGAAACUCUGAUGCAGCGAUGCCGCGUGAGUGAAGAAGGCCCUUGGGUUGUAAAGCUGAAUAAGAAGGUCCGGCUAACUUCGUGCCAGCAGCCGCGGUAAUACGAAGGGACCUAGCGUAGCUCGGAAUUACUGGGCUUAAAGAGUUCGUAGGUGGUUGAAAAAGUUAGUGGUGUAAUCCCAGAGCUUAACUCUGGAACUGCCAUUAAAACUUUUCAGCUAGAGUAUGAUAGAGGAAAGCAGAAUUUCUAGUGUAGGGGUGAAAUUCGUAGAUAUUAGAAAGAAUACCAAUUGCGAGGGCAGCUUUCUGGAUCAUUAC
rnacentral:rRNA from 1 species